rnacentral:rRNA from 1 species
GACAAGCGGACCAAGUUAAAUUGUAGUCGGUAAAAAAGGAAGUUAGAAAACUUUUGUUGAUGUUAAGGAAAAUAAAUCUUGUUUGUAGAAGUUAAAUUCGUGCAAAGAAGGGUAGAUUGCUAGUUUCUUAAGCUUUGAUACUUCGAAAAUUAAAGGAGAGACCGGGAUUAGAUACCCCGUUAUUUUUAUUGUAAAAUUUGGUUUUAGCCUACCUGGGUAGUACGGAUAAAAUUAACUAUAUAAAAGUAUUUUUGUAUAGUAGUUUUUCGUUUAAAACUCAAAAAACUUGGCGGUGCCUUAAUUCUUUCCAGGGGAACCUGUCCUGUAAUCGAUGAUCCACGAUUUAGCUUACUUUUUUUUGAAUGUUAAUUUUUAUAAAAUAAAUCAGUCUGUAUACCGUCGUCGUCAGAUUACCUUUGAGAGAUAAAAAGUUGUCGGAAGAAUAAUAAUUUAAAGAUUAAAUUUAUUUUUGAAAUUUAAAAAAGUUUUGAUGUCAGAUCAAGGUGCAGCUUAUAAAAAAGAAGAGAUGGGUUACAAUAUAAAAUUAAUUUGGAUCUUAAAGUGUAACUUUUAAGUGAAAUUGGACUUGGAAGUAAUAUAGAAAAGUUAUACUGUAAAGUCUUUUUAUUAAGGUACUAAAGCGCGU